UACAGAGGUCCCAAGCGUUGUUCGGAAUUACUGGGCGUAAAGCGCGUGUAGGCGGUUGCCAUAGUCAGGUGUGAAAGCCUUGAGCUUAACUCAAGAAAUGCACUUGAUACUGGGCGACUAGAGGACCGGAGAGGAUAGUGGAAUUCCCAGUGUAGUGGUGAAAUACGUAGAGAUUGGGAAGAACACCAGUGGCGAAGGCGGCUAUCUGGACGGUUACUGACGCUAAGACGCGAAAGCGUGGGGAGCAAACAGG
rnacentral:rRNA from 1 species